rnacentral:rRNA from 1 species
AUUGAACGCUAGCGGUAUGCUUUACACAUGCAAGUCGAACGGCAGCACGGUCUUCGGUCUCGCGUCGAGUGGCCGACGGGUGGGUGAUUUAUCGGAACGUGCCCAGUAGCUGGGGCUAGCUACGCGACGGCGUAGCUAAUACCGCAAAAGCCCAUAGGGGGAAAGGAGGGGAUCAUUAGACCUUGCACUCUUGGCGCACCCGAUGUCGGAUUAGCUAGUUGGUUAGGUAACGGCUCACCAAGGCGACGAUCCGUAGCUGGUUUGAGAGGAUGAUCAGCCACACUGGGACUGAGACACGGUCCAGACUCCUACGGGAGGCAGCAGUGGGGAAUUUUGGACAAUGGGCGCAAGCCUGAUCCAGCCAUCCCGCGUGUGUGAUGAAGGCCUUCGGGUUGUAAAGCACUUUUGGCAGGAAAGAAACGUCGCGGGCUAAUACCCCGUGGAACUGACGGUACCUGCAGAAUAAGCACCGGCUAACUACGUG